GGGCGGGCUACCUGUGAGUCGAGCGGAAACGAGUUGUCUGAACCUUCGGGGAACGAUAACGGCGUCGAGCGGCGGACGGGUGAGUAAUGCCUAGGAAAUUGCCCUGAUGUGGGGGAUAACCAUUGGAAACGAUGGCUAAUACCGCAUAAUGCCUACGGGCCAAAGAGGGGGACCUUCGGGCCUCUCGCGUCAGGAUAUGCCUAGGUGGGAUUAGCUAGUUGGUGAGGUAAUGGCUCACCAAGGCGACGAUCCCUAGCUGGUCUGAGAGGAUGAUCAGCCACACUGGAACUGAGACACGGUCCAGACUCCUACGGGAGGAGCAGUGGGGAAUAUUGCACAAUGGGCGCAAGCCUGAUGCAGCCAUGCCGCGUGUGUGAAGAAGGCCUUCGGGUUGUAAAGCACUUUCAGUCGUGAGGAAGGUGGUGUAGUUAAUAGCUGCAUUAUUUGACGUUAGCGACAGAAGAAGCACCGGCUAACUCCGUGCCAGCAGCCGCGGUAAUACGGAGGGUGCGAGCGUUAAUCGGAAUUACUGGGCGUAAAGCGCAUGCAGGUGGUUUGUUAAGUCAGAUGUGAAAGCCCGGGGCUCAACCUCGGAAUAGCAUUUGAGACUGGCAGACUAGAGUACUGUAGAGGGGGGUAGAAUUUCAGGUGUAGCGGUGAAUGCGUAGAGAUCUGAAGAAUACCGGUGGCGAAGCGGCCCCUGGACAGAUACUGACACUCAGAUGCGAAGCGUGGGAGCAACAGGAUAGAUACCUGGAGUCACGCCGUAACGAUGUCUACUUGGAGGUGUGGCUUGAGCCGUGGUUCGGAGCUAAGCGUAAGUAGACCGCUGGGAGUACGGCGCAGAUAAAAUCAAUGAUUGACGGGGCCGCACAGCGUGAGCUGG
rnacentral:rRNA from 1 species